UUUAUGGAGAGUUUGAUCCUGGCUCAGGAUGAACGCUGGCGGCGUGCCUAAUACAUGCAAGUCGAGCGAACGGACGAGAAGCUUGCUUCUCUGAUGUUAGCGGCGGACGGGUGAGUAACACGUGGAUAACCUACCUAUAAGACUGGGAUAACUUCGGGAAACCGGAGCUAAGACCGUCUUUCACUUUUGAACCGCAUGGUUCAAAAGUGAAAGACGGUCUUGCUGUCACUUAUAGAUGGAUCCGCGCUGCAUUAGCUAGUUGGUAAGGUAACGGCUUACCAAGGCAACGAUGCAUAGCCGACCUGAGAGGGUGA
rnacentral:rRNA from 1 species